rnacentral:rRNA from 1 species
GACGAACGCUGGCGGCGUGCUUAACACAUGCAAGUCGAACGGAGCGAAUGAAAGCUUGCUUUUAUAAGCUUAGUGGCAAACGGGUGAGUAACACGUAGGCAACCUGCCGACAGGAUGGGGACAACAUUCCGAAAGGAAUGCUAAUACCGAAUGAAGCGCAGGAGAGGCAUCUCUCCUGCGUGAAAGAUGGCCUCUAUAUAUAAGCUAUCACCUGUCGAUGGGCCUGCGUCUGAUUAGCUGGUAGGUGAGGUAACGGCUCACCUAGGCGACGAUCAGUAGCCGGUCUGAGAGGAUGAACGGCCACAUUGGGACUGAGACACGGCCCAGACUCCUACGGGAGGCAGCAGUGGGGAAUCUUCCGCAAUGGGCGCAAGCCUGACGGAGCAACGCCGCGUGAGUGAAGAAGGUCUUCGGAUCGUAAAGCUCUGUUGACGGGGACGAACGUGCGGAGUGCGAAUAGCGCUUUG